UUUGCCACUUUGACAAAAGCAAAGUAUUUUUUUCAAGUAAAAAUGGCUCCACAUACAUCGGAAGAGCUAAAAGCAAGAAUAAUAACUAAACUGGAAGAUGGCUGGUCCAUCACAGCAGUUGCUUAUCAUUUUAAUAAAGGCAGAGCAACAGUUUUCCGAAUUAAUAAAAGGUGGAGGCAGCAGCAAUCUCUUGAACGGCAAGGGGGAUCCGGAAGACCUAAAAUCAGUACAGCUGAAGAGGACGAAGCGCUUAUUCAGGAACUAGUGGUAAACCCCUUUCAAAAUGCGAGAAAUGCUCGAAUAUUGUCUGGGUUUCCUGGAGGAAAAACCACGGUUUGGCGUAGAAUUCAAAAUUUUCAAUUAAACUAUAGGAUUGCUGCAAACAAAACCGACCUUACCCCACAACAAAAGCAGUCCCGCAUCAUUUUUCCAUUAAACCAUAUACACCGAGAUCAAGAUUUUUGGAAUCGUGUCGCGUUUAUUGACGAUAAAAUAUUUCAGUCCUCCAAAAAAGGAAAACUUGGAGUUUACCGAUCUGAAAAUACCAGAUAUGAUCCACGUUACACAAAUUAUUUUCGAACUGCAGGUCAUUUUAGUGUCAACGUUUGGGGAUGGAUCUCAUCGAGAGGAAUGGGAGUGUUGUGCCGUAUUAAUGAAAGGUUUAUAACUAAAAUUAUAUUUAAUUAGAUCGUGAUCGAAAAGAUGAUUUAUUGGGCAAACCUACCUAGAUAUAUUGGAAAAUAUAAUGCAGCCUAGUGUUCUAUCCAGAGAAUAAUUUUUUAUAUCAACAUGACAAUUGCCCGGUGCACACGGCCAAUAUUAUAACUGAGUGGCUUCGAACAAACAAUAUCGAAACACUGCCAUGGCCAAGCUAUAGCCCGGAUAUAAAUCUGCUAGAAAAUGUGUGGGGAGUCAUGGUCAAAAAACUUUACCAAAGAAAUUUUUUGCCUCAAAAUGCUGAAGAUUUAUGGGCGGGAAUUGAAGGAAUAUGGGAGGAACUUUCUCAAGAAGAAGGUUUUUUAAUAUCAUUUUUAGAAUCGAUGACCAGAAGGCUCCAAGCAGUGAUAGACGCCGAUGGAAGUAUGACAAAAUAUUAAUUGUUUAGACCCAGUGGUAGCAGUAUGCCCAAUAGUAAUACAUUUUUGUCUUUACGCCACAAUAUAGUAUGUUUACAAUGAUAAUAGUUUAAGAGUUGCGUUAUAAAAUUGUGGAAGUUAUAAAAAUAAACUUAUUUUAAAGA